rnacentral:lncRNA from 1 species
CCGGCUCGGAUACGACCAUGGCUGAGGGUUGCCUUUCUUCCUUAUUUUUUAUCUCCAGCUAAUCCUCCUGGUAGAUUCCUUGUGUGCACAUAGCAACCAGUGAUAAAAACCUUUAUUUUGUGGAUGUAGAAACCGAAGACCAAAGCUGUGUUAUUCACGUGAGAAGAAUGGUCUUGCUUCCAUAGUAACAUGGACAAUACUCAGAUAGUACUCGUCUAGAUGAAUUUGGGGUCGUAAUACUAGUUGAUGUUGGUUGGCU